UCACGGCCAAACCCUAGAAAUCAACCUUGCGCUCAAUCGUUCGACCAAAACACCAUCCUUUCGCUGCCAUUCAAGUAUAUUGUAACUAUACCGGCAAUGUUGUUUAAAAAUUAUAGCCCGUUCUGUGGUAUUAAAACCCUAGAACUAAACUCUCACCUUCUCAAUUGAUCGAAGAAUGCCACCAUUCUGCCCCCAUUUAAACCAUUUACUCUCGAUU
rnacentral:lncRNA from 1 species